rnacentral:rRNA from 1 species
UACGUAGGAGACGAGCGUUGUCCGGAUUUACUGGGCGUAAAGCGCGCGCAGGCGCCCCGCAGGUCGGUUGUGAAAGCCCCCGGCUCAACCGGGCGGAUGCGAGCGAAACCGCGGGGCUGGAGGCUGGCAGAGGGUGGUGGAAUUCCCGGUGUAGUGGUGAAAUGCGUAGAGAUCGGGAGGAACACCCGCGGCGAAGGCGGCCACCUGGACCAGGCCUGACGCUGAGGCGCGAAAGCCAGGGGAGCAAACGGG